rnacentral:tRNA from 1 species
GUUGUAAUGGCAGAAUAGUGCCUCGGACUUAAACCCCGAACAUGAGAAAUGACCCCACCUCUUACAGCA